AGUCGCGGUCAUUUGCGGUGCAGACAAUUCGGUUGAUUGCAAGGUGAUUAGGCGACGAUUCAGUUAACUGUUUUCUCAACAAAGGCCAAAUUUUCGGUAUAAAUUGACCAGGUUCGGCUUGAAAAUGCAUCAAUCAACUUCUCAGUUCAAACAGCCUAACAACAAACAGAAAAAUGCCUUUACCGUGUGAAUUUUGUAUUGAGGGAGAUUACUCCGAAAUCAAGUGCAACUGCUGUCCAAACUGCAAGUGUUUAGACGCAAAAUUCGUUUCGCUGUGCACCUGCGAGUCCAACAAAAAUUCUUUGAACUAGCAGGAUGAAAACUCCACUAGUCUGGAGUAUUUUUGGAAAACUGCGAAUGUUUCCUUGUUAGGUUAUAAUGCAUGUUAGGCCUUUUAAAUAAACUGCUUCUGAAAAUUAAA